GUAACGGCGAGUGAAGCGGCAACAGCUCAAAUUUGAAAUCUGACUCCUUCGGGGUCCGAGUUGUAAUUUGUAGAGGGUGUUUCGGGCGCGAUGCCGGUCUAAGUUCCUUGGAACAGGACGUCGUAGAGGGUGAGAAUCCCGUAUGCGACCGGCGAUCAAGCCCGUGCGAAGCCCCUUCGACGAGUCGAGUUGUUUGGGAAUGCAGCUCAAAAUGGGUGGUAAAUUUCAUCUAAAGCUAAAUACUGGCCAGAGACCGAUAGCGGACAAGUAGAGUGAUCGAAAGAUGAAAAGCACUUUGGAAAGAGAGUCAAACAGUACGUGAAAUUGUUGAAAGGGAAGCGCUUGCAAUCAGACCGGUCCGGAGGCGAUCAGCCGCUGCUCGUCAGCGGUGCACUCGCCUGCGAUCCGGCCAGCAUCGGUUUGGGCGGCGGGAUAAAAGUCCCGGGAAUGUAGCCUCCUCCGGGGAGUCUUAUAGCCCGGGUCGCAAUGCCGCCCGCCCGGACCGAGGACCGCGCUUCGGCUAG
rnacentral:rRNA from 1 species